CCGUGGUAUUCUAGAGCUAAUACAUGCUAAAAACCCCGACUCCGGGAGGGGUGUAUUUAUUAGAUAAAAAACCAACGCCCUUCGGGGCUCCGUGGUGAAUCAUAAUAACUUAACGAAUCGCAUGGCCUUGCGCCGGCGAUGGUUCAUUCAAAUUUCUGCCCUAUCAACUUUCGAUGGUAGGAUAGUGGCCUACCAUGGUCUCAACGGGUAACGGGGAAUUAGGGUUCGACUCCGGAGAGGGAGCCUGAGAAACGGCUACCACAUCCAAGGAAGGCAGCAGGCGCGCAAAUUACCCAAUCCCGACACGGGGAGGUAGUGACAAUAAAUACUGAUACAGGGCUCUUUUGGGUCUUGUAAUUGGAAUGAGUACAAUUUAAAUCCCUUAACGAGGAACAAUUGGAGGGCAAGUCUGGUGCCAGCAGCCGCGGUAAUUCCAGCUCCAAUAGCGUAUAUUAAAGUUGUUGCAGUUAAAAAGCUCGUAGUUGAACCUUGGGCCUGGCUGGCCGGUCCGCCUCACCGCGUGUACUGGUCCGGCCGGGCCUUUCCUUCUGGGGAGCCGCAUGGCCUUCACUGGCCGUGUCGGGGAACCAGGACUUUUACUUUGAAAAAAUUAGAGUGUUCAAAGCAGGCCUAUGCUCGAAUACAUUAGCAUGGAAUAAUAGAAUAGGACGUGUGGUUCUAUUUUGUUGGUUUCUAGGACCGCCGUAAUGAUUAAUAGGGAUAGUCAGGGGUGUCUGUAUUCAACUGUCAGAGGUGAAAUUCUUGGAUUUGUUGAAGACAAACUACUGCGAAAGCAUUCACCAAGGAUGUUUUCAUUAAUCAGUGAACGAAAGUUAGGGGAUCGAAGACGAUCAGAUACCGUCGUAGUCUUAACCAUAAACUAUGCCAGCUAGGGAUCGGACGGUGUUAUUAUUUUGACCCGUUCGGCACCUUACGAGAAAUCAAAGCGUUUGGGUUCUGGGGGGAGUAUGGUCGCAAGGCUGAAACUUAAAGACAUUGACGGAAGGGCACCACCAGGCGUGGAGCCUGCGGCUUAAUUUGACUCAACACGGGGAAACUCACCAGGUCCAGAUUUGAUAAGGAUUGACAGAUUGAGAGCUCUUUCUUGAUUUCAAAGGUGGUGGUGCAUGGCCGUUCU
rnacentral:rRNA from 1 species